rnacentral:lncRNA from 1 species
CCAGAGGUCCGAAACCUCUAGCUUUGUAUUUUUCCUUUAUGAUGAUUUUUCUUCAUUCUCUUGUACUUGAAAAUUAUUUAAUCAAUAAAAUCAGAUUCUUCUUCACAGAGGACCCCCCCUUUUUUUUUUCUGUAUUCUUUUCCUUCUCUUUUAUCUCCUUGUACUAAUUUGAGUCGUGGUGCUUUUGUCUCCCAACGACAGUGUCCUGCCGAAGCUCUUCCCCUGCCACAGGGGGUUCCUCUGAAGUCGAUGAUCCGAGACCUCAGAAGGAAAGUUCGUCAGUUGACGAAGAAAUCCAAGAAGCUGGAAAAUAAACUUCAUCGAC